CCUACGGGUGACAGCAGUGAGGAAUAUUGGUCAAUGGGCGCGAGCCUGAACCAGCCAAGUAGCGUGAAGGAUGACUGCCCUACGGGUUGUAAACUUCUUUUAUAAAGGAAUAAAGUGAGGCACGUGUGCCUUUUUGUAUGUACUUUAUGAAUAAGGAUCGGCGAACUCCGUGCCAGCAGCCGCGGUAAUACGGAGGAUCCGAGCGUUAUCCGGAUUUAUUGGGUUUAAAGGGAGCGUAGAUGGGUUGUUAAGUCAGUUGUGAAAGUUUGCGGCUCAACCGUAAAAUUGCAAUUGAAACUGGCGGCCUUGAGUACAGUUGAGGUAUGCGGAAUGCGUGGUGUAGCGGUGAAAUGCUUAGAUAUCACGAAGAACUCCGAUUGCGAAGGCAGCUUACUAAUCUGCCACUGACAUUGAUGCUCGAAAGUGUGGGUAUCAAACAGGAUUAGAUACCCUUGUAGUC
rnacentral:rRNA from 1 species